GAUGAACGCUGGCGGCGUGCCUAAUACAUGCAAGUCGAGCGAACGGACGAGAAGCUUGCUUCUCUGAUGUUAGCGGCGGACGGGUGAGUAACACGUGGAUAACCUACCUAUAAGACUGGGAGAACUUCGGGAAACCGGAGCUAAUACCGGAUAAUAUUUUGAACCGCAUGGUUCAAGAGUGAAAGACGGUCUUGCUGUCACUUAUAGAUGGAUCCGCGCUGCAUUAGCUAGUUGGUAAGGUAACGGCUUACCAAGGCAACGAUGCAUAGCCGACCUGAGAGGAUGAUCGGCCACACUGGAACUGAGACACGGUCCAGACUCCUACGGGAGGCAGCAGUGGGGAAUCUUCGGCAAUGGGCGAAAGCCUGACGGAGCAACGCCGCGUGCGUGAUGAAGGUCUUCGGAUCGUAAAACUCUUUUAUUAGGGAAGAACAUAUGUGUAAGUAACUGUGCACAUCUUGACGGUACCUAAUCAGAAAGCCACGGCUAACUACGUG
rnacentral:rRNA from 1 species